rnacentral:lncRNA from 1 species
GACAUUACGAGCAGAUCUGCUCCUCAUCAUUCUCCUCCUUCAUUUUCACUAGGGGUGUGUUUUUAAUAUGAAAAAGGUGUGCUCUUAACUGGAGUGAACAUCCUAAUGGCAGUACAGAGUUUUCAAAGAGGUCGCAAGUCAAGUAUUUUGCCUGUUCUUCCAAUAGAGCUGCUGAGCCACACUAUCAGUCAUGUUUUCAAGCAAAAGGGAGCAGAGGCAUUCAGUAGGUGCUUCCUAGAAGACAGAAGUUGACUGUCAACCUAUCCUGCCUCCCACAAGCUAGAAACAGAUCUCCCUUGCAGAGACUACAGAGCUGAACCUGAAAGUUGCAACAUGAUCAUUUGUACUUCAACAAGUAUUAAGGACUUACCUUAUUUUAAGAAGCAGAAAUACAUGUGAUAUAACAUAAGGAGCAUGUUCCAGUUGGAUUGGGACAGAUAGGAGAAGACUGUCCAUUUGGAGACAGCCAGCCAGGAUUGCAGAUGAUUUCAUGGUAUUUAAUGCCAGAAG